rfam:Drosophila mojavensis strain TSC#15081-1352.22 Ctg01_11180, whole genome shotgun sequence.
UCUGCGCUUGACAAAUACGCGACGCUUUUUAGUCUGAAGCAUUUGUGUUUGCUGAUGCUGCGCUAAAUUAAAUCAAAAUCAAAAAGGUUAUAUAUUUUGAUUGAGCCAACAGGGCCGCUAAGAUUUAAGCUCAUCUUCAAGCGGUAGUAAGCAGCUCGUACAAA